UAGGGAAUCUUCCACAAUGGGCGAAAGCCUGAUGGAGCAACGCCGCGUGUGUGAUGAAGGGUUUCGGCUCGUAAAACACUGUUGUAAGAGAAGAAUGACAUUGAGAGUAACUGUUCAAUGUGUGACGGUAUCUUACCAGAAAGGAACGGCUAAAUACGUGACCAA
rnacentral:rRNA from 1 species